GAUGAACGCUGGCGGCGUGCCUAAUACAUGCAAGUCGAACGAACGGACGAGAAUCUUGCUUCUCUGAUGUUAGCGGCGGGCGUGAGAGUAACACGUGGAUAACCUCCCUAUAAUAGUGAUAUAACUUCGGGAAACCGGAUCUAAUACCGUAUAAUAUCUUGAACCGCAUGGUUCAAAAGUGAAAGACGGUCUUGCUGUCACUUAUAGAUGCAUCCGGGCUUCAUUAGCUAGUUGGUAAGGUAACGGCUUACCAAGGCAACGAUGCAUAGCCGACCUGAGAGAGUGGUCGGCGACACUGGAAAGGAGCCAGGGUCAAGACUCCUAAGGUAGGCAGCAGUCGCGAAUCUUCCGCAAUAGGCGAGAGCCUGGCGGAGUAACGCCAAGUGAGUGAUAACGGUCCUCGGAGCGUAAAAAUCUGUUACUAGGGAAGAACCUAUGUGUCAGUAACUGUGCACAUAUUGACGGUACCUAAUCAGGAAGCAACGGCUAACUACGUG
rnacentral:rRNA from 1 species